rnacentral:rRNA from 1 species
AGAGUUUGAUCCUGGCUCAGGACGAACGCUGGCGGCGUGCCUAAUACAUGCAAGUAGAACGCUGAAGAGAGGAGCUUGCUCUUCUUGGAUGAGUUGCGAACGGGUGAGUAACGCGUAGGUAACCUGCCUUGUAGCGGGGGAUAACUAUUGGAAACGAUAGCUAAUACCGCAUAACAAUGGAUGACCCAUGUCAUUUAUUUGAAAGGGGCAAAUGCUCCACUACAAGAUGGACCUGCGUUGUAUUAGCUAGUAGGUGAGGUAACGGCUCACCUAGGCGACGAUACAUAGCCGACCUGAGAGGGUGAUCGGCCACACUGGGACUGAGACACGGCCCAGACUCCUACGGGAGGCAGCAGUAGGGAAUCUUCGGCAAUGGGGGCAACCCUGACCGAGCAACGCCGCGUGAGUGAAGAAGGUUUUCGGAUCGUAAAGCUCUGUUGUAAGUCAAGAACGAGUGUGAGAGUGGAAAGUUCACACUGUGACGGUAGCUUACCAGAAAGGGACGGCUAACUACGUGCCAGCAGCCGCGGUAAUACGUAGGUCCCGAGCGUUGUCCGGAUUUAUUGGGCGUAAAGCGAGCGCAGGCGGUUUGAUAAGUCUGAAGUUAAAGGCUGUGGCUCAACCAUAGUUCGCUUUGGGAACUGUCAAACUUGAGUGCAGAAGGGGAGAGUGGAAUUCCAUGUGUAGCGGUGAAAUGCGUAGAUAUAUGGAGGAACACCGGUGGCGAAAGCGGUUCUCUGGUCUGUAACUGACGCUGAGGCUCGAAAGCGUGGGGAGCGAACAGGAUUAGAUACCCUGGUAGUCCACGCCGUAAACGAUGAGUGCUAGGUGUUGGAUCCUUUCCGGGAUUCAGUGCCGCAGCUAACGCAUUAAGCACUCCGCCUGGGGAGUACGACCGCAAGGUUGAAACUCAAAGGAAUUGACGGGGGCCCGCACAAGCGGUGGAGCAUGUGGUUUAAUUCGAAGCAACGCGAAGAACCUUACCAGGUCUUGACAUCCCGAUGCUAUUUCUAGAGAUAGAAAGUUACUUCGGUACAUCGGUGACAGGUGGUGCAUGGUUGUCGUCAGCUCGUGUCGUGAGAUGUUGGGUUAAGUCCCGCAACGAGCGCAACCCCUAUUGUUAGUUGCCAUCAUUCAGUUGGGCACUCUAGCGAGACUGCCGGUAAUAAACCGGAGGAAGGUGGGGAUGACGUCAAAUCAUCAUGCCCCUUAUGACCUGGGCUACACACGUGCUACAAUGGUUGGUACAACGAGUUGCGAGUCGGUGACGGCAAGCUAAUCUCUUAAAGCCAAUCUCAGUUCGGAUUGUAGGCUGCAACUCGCCUACAUGAAGUCGGAAUCGCUAGUAAUCGCGGAUCAGCACGCCGCGGUGAAUACGUUCCCGGGCCUUGUACACACCACCCGUCACACCACGAGAGUUUGUAACACCCGAAGUCGGUGAGGUAACCUUUUGGAGCCAGCCGCCUAAGGUGGGAUAGAUGAUUGGGGUGAAGUCGUAACAAGGUA